AAUCAACGCUGGCGGCGUGCCUCAGACAUGCAAGUCGAACGCGAAAGUCCCCUUCGGGGGGGCAAGUAGAGUGGCGCACGGGUGAGUAACACGUAGGUAAUCUACCUUUGGAUGGGGAAUAACAACCGGAAACGUUGCUAAUACCGCAUAAUGCAGCGGCACCUAAUGGUGACAGUUGUUAAAGCGGGGGAUCGAAAGACCUCGCGUCUGAAGAGGAGCCUGCGGCGGAUUAGCUAGNGGUAAGGUAACGGCUUACCAAGGCAACGAUCCGUAGCCGGCCUGAGAGGGCGGUCGGCCACACUGACACUGACAUACGGGUCAGACUCCUACGGGAGGCAGCAGUCGGGAAUUUUGGGCAAUGGGCGAAAGCCUGACCCAGCAACGCCGCGUGAAGGA
rnacentral:rRNA from 1 species